rnacentral:rRNA from 1 species
GACGAACGCUGGCGGCGUGCUUAACACAUGCAAGUCGAGCGAGAAACUUCGGUUUCUAGCGGCGGACGGGUGAGUAACACGUGGGCAACCUGCCUCACAAUGGGGGAUAGCCUUCCGAAAGGAAGAUUAAUACCGCAUAACACAAAGGAAACGCAUGUCUCUUUUGCCAAAGAAUUUCGUUGUGAGAUGGGCCCGCGGCGCAUUAGCUUGUUGGUGAGGUAACGGCUCACCAAGGCGACGAUGCGCAGCCGACCUGAGAGGGUGAUCGGCCACAUUGGAACUGAGACACGGUCCAGACUCCUACGGGAGGCAGCAGUGGGGAAUAUUGCACGAUGGAGGAAACUCUGAUGCAGCAACGCCGCGUGAGUGAUGAAGGUCUUCGGAUUGUAAAGCUCUGUCUUCUGGGACGAUAAUGACGGUACCAGAGGAGGAAGCCACGGCUAACUACGUGCCAGCAGCCGCCGCGG